rnacentral:rRNA from 1 species
GUGGCAGCAGCCGCGGUAAAACCAGCACCUCAAGUGGUCAGGAGGAUUAUUGGGCCUAAAGCAUCCGUAGCUUGCUCUGUAAGUUUCCGGUUAAAUCCAUUAGCUCAACUAAUGGGCUGCCGGAAAAACUGCAGAGCUAGGAAGUGGGAGAGGUAGACGGUACUCGGUAGGAAGGGGUAAAAUCCUUUGAUCUAUUGAUGACCACCUGUGGCGAAGGCGGUCUACCAGAACACGUUCGACAGUGAGGGAUGAAAGCUGGGGGAGCAAACCGGAUUAGAUACCCGGGUAGUCCCAGCUGUAAACGAUGCAGACUCGGUGAUGCGCUGGCUUGUGGCCAGUGCAGUGCCGCAGGGAAGCCGUUAAGUUUGCCGCCUGGGAAGUACGUACGCAAGUAUGAAACUUAAAGGAAUUGGCGGGGGAGCACCACAAGGGGUGAAGCCUGCGGUUCAAUUGGAGUCAACGCCAGAAAUCUUACCCGGAGAGACAGCAGAAUGAAGGUCAAGCUGAAGACUUUACCAGACAAGCUGAGAGGUGGUGCAUGGCCGUCGCCAGCUCGUGCCGUGAGAUGUCCUGUUAAGUCAGGUAACGAGCGAGAUCCCUGCCUCUAGUUGCCACCAUUACUCUCAGGAGUAGUGGGGCGAAUUAGCGGGACCGCCGUAGUUAAUACGGAGGAAGGAAGGGGCCACGGCAGGUCAGUAUGCCCCGAAACUCUGGGGCCACACGCGGGCUGCAAUGGUAGUGACAAUGAGUUCCUAAACCGAAAGGUGGAGGUAAUCUUCAAACGCUACCACAGUUAUGAUUGAGGGCUGCAACUCGCCCUCAUGAAUAUGGAAUCCCUAGUAACUGCGUGUCAUUAUCGCGCGGUGAAUACGUCCCUGCUCCUUGCACACACCGCCCGUC